ACGAAGUCGGCAGGAAAGACCUGCAAUGGCCCAAUUCCUCUUCUUCCUUUGAACUGUAAAACUGAAGAUGGGAUCUUGGUCUGAGUGGAAGGGACACUAAGCUCAGAGAAUUCCUGCCCCUGCUUUGCCUUGGGCUGCCGUGACAAAGUGCUACACACCAAGUGGCUUAAAACAACAGAAAACUAUUCUCUCACAGUUUUGGAGGCCAGAAGUCCAAGAUCAAGGUGCCAGCAGAGUUGGUUCCUUCUGAGGGCUCUGAGGCUCCCAGGGAGAAUCUGUUCCAGGCUCUCCUCACUUCUGGGGAUGGCAGGCAGUCCUUGGGUUCCUUAUUUGCAGAUGCUUUGCUGCAAUCCCUCAUGUCUUCACAUGGCCAUCUUCCCUCUAUGUCUGUCUCCAUAGCUCUCCACCUCUUCUUAUGGGGACACCAGUCAUACUGAAUUAUGGGACCAGCCUACUCCCAAAUAAUGCAAUUCCAAAUAAGUUCACAUUCACAGGUACUGGGGGUUAGGACUUGAACAUACCUUUCUGGAGGACGCAAAUAAUCAUUAUUCCACAGAUAGGUCUAUGAUGCAAAGCAAGCCAGUCCAGUUCUGUCAGGAAGUUUCUCAAACUGGCAUUGAGACACAGAUAAAUUUUGGUCCUCUGAGUCAUGGUUAAGAAAAUUCCAAGUGUUUAGCAGCUGUGUCCCAGGAACCAGGACAAAGACCAAAUGUAUAUUUAUCAUAAAUCACAGUAUCACAUUAGUUUUUAGGGAGCUGUGGUUUCUAGUGUUCCCACUCCUUCCUGUCUCAGUGGAAGGUGUAGCACCUAACGAGGCUGGAUGUUGUUCAGAGCAGGUAGCUGUAGGGUAGAUGACAGCUGUCUGCCAAGGACCUGCCAAAGAAUAUAAGCAUGUCAGUGGUCAGUGUCUGUAAAGAGUCAGCCAAAAGACAGACACUUAAUAAUUGAUGGGUUUUUAUUGUACUUCUUUACUGAGAAAUAUGCUUUUUUCAAGUUAUCCUGCAUUCCCCUCAAUGAUGGUUUCCUCUGUGUGGCCAGUCUUCCUUGUCUGCAUCCACUGUGGUCCCUUGUUAGGAAAGAGGGGCAAGUUCUAAGGGAUCAAAUGCACAGCAUGGAGACUGUAGUUGAUAAUUCUGUGUUCUCAUCACAGACACACAUGAACGCACACACAAAGGGUAACUCUGUGAGCUGAUGGAUGUGUUAACUGGCUUGAUUGUGGUAAUCAUUCUAUAUAUGUAUAUAUAUAUCAUCAUGUUGUGUAACUUAAGUAUAUACAGUUUAUUCGUCAAAGAAAGAGAACCUCUCCCUCACUUUUACACCCUAUUCUCCAGUAGGGUUUCACAAGGCAAAAUGAACUAAAGGCACCUAUGUGCUUACUUAAAAAAAAGAGGGGGAAUCACUGUUUUGAGCAGAAUACUGGCUGUACCAGAGCUGAGACAACAUGAGUCUAAAAGCAGGUUUGUGGGGGAGGGGGGACUAAAAAGAGACCAGGAGACCUAGGACCCCCUGACCACCCAG